rnacentral:rRNA from 1 species
AGAGUUUGAUCAUGGCUCAGGAUGAACGCUAGCUACAGGCUUAACACAUGCAAGUCGAGGGGCAGCAUGAUUGAAGCUUGCUUCAAUUGAUGGCGACCGGCGCACGGGUGAGUAACGCGUAUCCAACCUUCCGUACACUCAGGGAUAGCCUUUCGAAAGAAAGAUUAAUACCUGAUGGUAUGAUGAGAUUGCAUGAUAGCAUCAUUAAAGAUUUAUCGGUGUACGAUGGGGAUGCGUUCCAUUAGGUAGUAGGCGGGGUAACGGCCCACCUAGCCUACGAUGGAUAGGGGUUCUGAGAGGAAGGUCCCCANAUUGGAACUGAGACGACGGUCCAAACUCCGUACGGGAGGCA